CGCGGUUCCCAUGAUUCCCAGCAUCUACACAUCAUAGAGUAAUCACUACUCUAUGAUGUGUAGAUGUUGGGAAUUAUGGGAACCGU
rnacentral:miRNA from 1 species